rnacentral:rRNA from 1 species
CAGCCGCCGCGGGAAUACGAAGGGGGCUAGCGUUGUUCGGAUUUACUGGGCGUAAAGCGCACGUAGGCGGAUCGUUAAGUCGGGGGUGAAAUCCUGGAGCUCAACUCCAGAACUGCCUUCGAUACUGGCGAUCUUGAGUCCGGAAGAGGUGAGUGGAACUCCUAGUGUAGAGGUGGAAUUCGUAGAUAUUAGGAAGAACACCAGUGGCGAAGGCGGCUCACUGGUCCGGUACUGACGCUGAGAUGCGAAAGCGUGGGGAGCGAACAGGAUUAGAGACCCCGGUAGUCCCUGUCUCUUAUAC